GCCCGCCUAGCCCAAUUGGCAAGAGGCAGCGCGCUUAGACCGCGCACAGUCCCGGUUCGAGUCCGGGGGCGGGCA
rnacentral:tRNA from 1 species